GAUGAACGCUGACAGAAUGCUUAACACAUGCAAGUCAACUUGAAUUUGGGUUUUUAACUUAGGUUUGGGUGGCGGACGGGUGAGUAACGCGUAAAGAACUUGCCUCACAGCUAGGGACAACAUUUGGAAACGAAUGCUAAUACCUAAUAUUAUGAUAAUAGGGCAUCCUAUAAUUAUGAAAGCUAUAAGCGCUGUGAGAGAGCUUUGCGUCCCAUUAGCUAGUUGGAGAGGUAACGGCUCACCAAGGCGAUGAUGGGUAGCCGGCCUGAGAGGGUGAUCGGCCACAAGGGGACUGAGACACGGCCCUUACUCCUACGGGAGGCAGCAGUGGGGAAUAUUGGACAAUGGACCAAGAGUCUGAUCCAGCAAUUCUGUGUGCACGAUGAAGUUUUUCGGAAUGUAAAGUGCUUUCAGUUGGGAAGAAAAAAAUGACGGUACCAACAGAAGAAGUGACGGCUAAAUACGUGCCAGCAGCCGCGGUAAUACGUAUGUCACGAGCGUUAUCCGGAUUUAUUGGGCGUAAAGCGCGUCUAGGUGGUUAUAUAAGUCUGAUGUGAAAAAUGCAGGGCUCAACUCUGUAUUGCGUUGGGAAACUGUAUAACUAGAGUACUGGAGAGGUAAGCGGAACUACAAGUGUAGAGGUGAAAUUCGUAGAUAUUUGUAGGAAUGCCGAUGGGGGAAGCCAGCUUACUGGACAGAUACUGACGCUAAAGCGCGAAAAGCGUGGGGUAGCAAACAGGAUAGAUACUCUACUAGUCCAAGGGCGAAUACCACAGUGGAUAUCAAUCCUAUUCUUUCCGCCACCCCGCGGGGGGGGCCCGCUACCCAAAUUAAUGUUCCUUUUAUUGUUGUUAAAUUAUACUU
rnacentral:rRNA from 1 species